UCUCUCGUGGUGUAGAGGUAACGCGCCCUGUCUAAUAAACAGGGAAUCAUGGGUUCGAUUCUCACCGAGAAGA
rfam:Aedes aegypti strain Liverpool supercont1.1 genomic scaffold, whole genome shotgun sequence.